CACUAUUAAAACGCUAUUCUCUGUACCGUUACAUAAACAAUGCACCGCGCUACUCACUCCUAGCAAAACUGUCAGCAAAGUGUGUCCGUUUUUUAGAUUCUAAGAGGAGCGAUGUUGAUUUUUGUUUUAUUUUUCUGUGGAAUUUUUUCUACCAGCGAUUUUACUCGGAUUUUCAACUGUAGCACAUUUUCUGAAAAUAAAUUUGACUGGGGUAAUACUCUAAAGAAGUUAUUUUUUCGAUUCCCCCAGGAAUUUGUUCAAUAUAUGGGAAAAACCUGGGAAAACCGUAGGAAAAACGGGAAAAUGUAUACAU